CCAGGCGUUUCCUCCCGGGCCCACCCUGCGCGCGCCGUGUGGGCCUCGCGGACUCGGGGCGCCGGGACCCCGAGCGCAGGGCAGAGGCAGCCGGGCCCGGUUUCUGAGUCAGUCCCCAGGACGGCCACUCCUCCUGCCUCGGGACACCCAGCGCUUUCCUCUUCAAAGCCGUUUUCCGUGGAGUCGGGAGACGAUUCGUUGGCGGGAGAGAGAGGAACCGG
rnacentral:lncRNA from 10 species